AUUGAACGAUGGCGGCAGGCCUAACACAUGCAAGUCGAACGGUAGCACAGAGAGCUUGCUCUCGGGUGACGAGUGGCGGACGGGUGAGUAAUGUCUGGGAAACUGCCCGAUGGAGGGGGAUAACUACUGGAAACGGUAGCUAAUACCGCAUAACGUCGCAAGACCAAAGUGGGGGACCUUCGGGCAUCACACCAUCGGAUGGGCGCGGAUGGGAUGAGCUAGUAGGUGGGGUACUGGCUAACCCAGGCGCCGAUCCCUAGCUGGUCUGAGAGGAUGACCCGCCACACUGGAACUGAGACACGGUCCAUACUCCUACGGGAGGCAGCAGUGGGGAAUAUUGCACAAUGGGCGCAAGCCUGAUGCAGCCAUGCCGCGUGUAUGAAGAAGGCCUUCGGGUUGUAAAGUACUUUCAGCGGGGAGGAAGGCGGUGAAGUUAAUAACUUCACCGAUUGACGUUACCCGCAGAAGAAGCACCGGCUAACUCCGUGCCAGCAGCCGCCGUAA
rnacentral:rRNA from 1 species